GCUUGAGCACGUAGGUGGGUUUGUAAGUCAGGUGUGAAAGCCUUCUGUUCAACGGGAGAAUUGCAUCUGAAACUACGAAUCUUGAGUGUAGGAGGGGAGAAUGGAACUUCUGGUGGAGCGGUGAAAUCCGUAGAUAUCAGAAGGAACGCCGGCGGCGAAAGCGAUUCUCUGGCCUAUUACUGACACUCAGUGUGCGAAAGCUAGGGGAGCAAACGGGAUUAGAUACCCCGGUAGUCCUAGCCGUAAACGAUGGGCACUAAGUAGAGGGGAUUACCGACGUUCUCUCUGCCGUAGCUAACGCAUUAAGUGCCCCGCCUGGGGAGUACGGCCGCAAGGCUAAAACUCAAAAGAAUUGACGGGGGCUCGCACAAGCGGUGGAGCAUGUGGCUUAAUUCGAUGCAACGCGAAGAACCUUACCGGGGCUUGACAUGGUAGAAGUAGGAACCCGAAAGGGUAACGAACGGUAUCCAGUCCGUGACUAUCACAGGUGUUGCAUGGCUGUCGUCAGCUCGUGUCGUGAGACGUUGGGUUAAGUCCCCUAACGAGCGAAACCCUUGUUUUUAGUUACCAGCGGGUUAUGCCGGGUACUCUAGAAAGACUGCCGUCGUCAAGACGGAGGAAGGUGGGGAUGACGUCAAGUCAUCAUGGCCCUUAUGCCCCGGGCUGCACACGUGCUACAAUGGUCGGUACAAACGGAAGCGAAGCCGAGAGGUGAAGCGAAUCCAAGC
rnacentral:rRNA from 1 species